AUGGUGGGAGGUGUAGUCUCCCCAUACUGGCCUUCUGGGAGACCAUGUUGCGCCUCUCGAGGUGGCGGGAGGUGCGGUUCUCUGUCAGCGGGGUUCCCAGCAGCCGUUCGCGUUGUGCUCUGGGGCAGGCCAGCAGCUGUACUUCCAGGUGCCUGUGCCUUCUCCGCCCUGCAGCAGUGGCCCGCUGUGUGUGUGUGCUCCGGUGUCGAAAAAGCAGUACUGCACCGUGGCGCAUGCACACGGCGGCCGGCCGUGCUCCCUGCUGCCCUCGGGGUGUCCAAAAAGCGGUAUUGCACCAAAAGGGGGGGGCGCGCAUGCACUCACUGGUGCCUCGGGUGUCGAGAUAGCAGCACUGCCCCCCCCAAUAAGGCGCUCACGCGUCGUGAGUUCACAGUGCUUAUGGCUUCCCCCCGUUGUCGAAAAAGCGGUCCCGCACCCAGCGCGGGCUCACAUGUGCAUGGGGAUCACCGUGGUCACUGCUGCCCUCGCGUGUCACCAAAGCAGUGCAGCAGAGCGGGCGGGCGCGCACCGACGCACUGCUUCCUCGGUGCUCCCUGCUUCCCCCCGGGUGUCGAAAAGCGGUAUUGCACCCGAAAGCGGGGACGCGCAUGCGCACUGCGUUCCACAGAGCUCACUGCUGCUCUCGGGUGUCCAAAAAGCGGUAUUGCAGCCACAACGGGGACGCGCACACGCUCAGUGCCGGUCGCCGUGUUCGCCGCUGCUCUCCGCCGUUUCGGUAACGGGUAAGCGAAUGGAGCGUGCUCGUCGCCCCUUCGCGGUGCUCACGGAGCGGUGGCGCAGAGCGCUCCUCCUUAUCGGUGCUUCCUGGUGCCGCGGGGACGGGCAGUGCCGUCUUGGAGCUGCUCCGCGGUGCUCUUUCACCGGGGCAGCACCGGAGCCUGCUCGCUGGUCCCCGCCGCUCUCGCGGCCACGGCCACGGGCACGGGCACGGGCAGCCUCGGGGCGCUCGCUGGGAGCCCCGGGCUGCCGCGGCGGGCUGCGGUUCGCACGCGUGAGC
rnacentral:lncRNA from 1 species